GGUUAUGGCCAUGCAACCCUGAACAAGCCUGAUGUCUAAUCUCAGAAGCUAAGCAGGGUCGGGCCUGGUUAGUACUUGCAUGGGAGACCACCUAGGAAGACCAGAUGCUGUAGGCA
rnacentral:rRNA from 1 species